GAAGACGUGGACUCGGUAAAGCAAGAGCUGUCACGUGCAAGGUGACAGCCGUGCCCCAGACUGUCCGCAGGGCGGCCAACCAGUCCGACCAGUCCAGGGGGAGCCCUGUGACUCAGCACAUCAACAGACGGGCUCUGCGUGUUGGCCCCAGGAUUCCGGUUCCAGGAAGAGACGGCCUGUGCUAGUGGCGGAAUAUAAGCUCUGUGAGAGUGGGGAUCUCCCAGUCGUCUCUGCAGUCAUAAACGUGGAGCCUGGAACAGUCCCUCCAGCGAGGAGCCACUCACCACCUGUGCAAUGUGCAGGAGCUGUGUGUGAGACACAGGACGGUGGAGAAAUCGAAAUUACAGGCUGGAAGGAGAGAGAGGCGCCGAGAUGUGGAAGCCGGCCUCUGGCCUGGAGACGGCCAAGGUCAUCUGGCACCAAGCCAGAAGCCUCCCUCGUGCGUGCUCCAGGUCAGCGCACGGCUGGAGACGUCGGUGCCUCGAGGAGCUGCGUCUCAGCCUCGGUUCCCUCCUCCGCGGCGGAGGAUGGCGAUGCACACACCACACGCGGCUAGCCUCAGAAUUAAUACUGGGGCUCGGGGCAGGAAAGCAUUGAACACAUAAAGUUUGCUGUGGUUUUAAGA